AGAUCUGCAGUGUGCAAGUCUUGGAAGUGCAGUGGGAAAAUAUACUUGAGGCUUCAAACAUAAAUUGUGUCCCAAAGUCAGAAAGCCAGAAGAAGAAAUCAUAGGGAUGGUACUGAAGUCAACGUAAUAUCCUUCAUAACUCU